ensembl:lncRNA
CAACAUAACAACCCAACCCACUAGACGACAGCAAAACAAUGUAUGUAUUUUGACAGAUUGCCACUCACAAAACCAAGCCACAAAGACCAAAACUUCACAUGUACAGUGAUACACCUGUUGCUGAGUGACUGAUCUAGUGAGGUGGCCAGCUCCACGGCUUUGGUUUCUGUAGACGAGUCCAGAAACACCAUCAUUUUGGCAGCUGCAGGAGAAGAGAGGAAGAAGAAAGGGGGAAGAGAGAGAGGAAGAAGAGAGAGGGGAAAGAAGAGAGAGAGGAAAGAAGAGAGAGAGGAAAGAAGAGAGAGAGGAAAGAAGAGAGAGAGGAAAGAAGAGAGAGAGGAAAGAAGAGUAGGAAGAAGAGAGAGAGGAAGAGAGAGAGGGAAGAAGAGAGAGAGGAAGAAGAGAGAGAGGAAGAAGAGAGAGGGAAGAAGAGAGAGAGCAAGAAGAGAGAGAGCAAGAAGAGAGAGAGCAAGAAGAGAGAGAGGAAGAAGAGAGAGAGCAAGAAGAGAGAGAGCAAGAAGAGAGAGGGUAGAAGAGAGAGAGGAAGAAGAGAGAGAGCAAGAAGAGAGAGAGGGUAGAAGAGAGAGGGGGGAAGAAGAGAGAGGGUAGAAGAGAGGGGGAAGAAGAGAGAGAGGGUAGAAGAGAGGGGGAAGAAGAGAGAGAGGGGUAGAAGAGAGGGGGAAGAAGAGAGGGGGAAGAAGAGAGAGAGG